GGGACAUGGUGGUGGAUGACAAUGUUAGGAAAUAUGGAGAUGUCAUUAGGGGCCUAGGAAGAGUUGAAUCUUUUCUUUUUAAUGACUUUCCCACCCUAAAAUUGGUUCAACCAGAGAUAGGGUCCAACAUCUAGAAGAGAAACACACAUCUUGUGGUGUUUGGUGCCCCCUCGGUGGCCAUUCAAAAUAUGGAGAACCGAGUACCAUCCUUACCCGAUCGUACUCAUAUUUGCCUCCUUGGAUUUUUGAAUGCCCACUAGGUUAGCAAUCUUUA
rnacentral:ncRNA from 1 species